UACGGAGGGGACUAGCGUUGUUCGGAAUUACUGGGCGUAAAGCGCACGUAGGCGGAUUGUUAAGUCAGGGGUGAAAUCCUGGAGCUCAACUCCAGAACUGCCUUUGAUACUGGCAAUCUAGAGUCCGGAAGAGGUGAGUGGAACUCCUAGUGUAGAGGUGGAAUUCGUAGAUAUUAGGAAGAACACCAGUGGCGAAGGCGGCUCACUGGUCCGGUACUGACGCUGAGGUGCGAAAGCGUGGGGAGCAAACAGG
rnacentral:rRNA from 1 species